ACGUAAGACAAACAGUCAGACGAUUGUUUCGUCGUUCGCACAAAGCCCUUAAGAACAUAUAGAGAUGCGCACACUGUUACGACACGACAGCGACACGACUGGCAGUCGGUUACCUCUUACGACAACCCCGGACAUUUCUGUCUACCAACUGUCGUUGGCCCUUCGAAUUAUAUGAAAGCGCGCAGACGAACGGCCUUUCAUUUCGUGUGAGCAUUUGCAGACAGUAGACGAUUGUCAAACGUGGAUUUUGUUGAAACUGCUAUAGUAUGUGCACUUGUGAUACGCCUCAAUAAAAGGAGGAAAAGGAAUUACUGGGUGCAUCCAUUAUACAGGGAGAGACUGUUCAAAGGAAAAUUUCAUACUAUGUAUGAAACAUUACGGAAUUAUCCUGCAAAAUUCUUUUCAUAUUUUCGCAUGAGUACACAAAGUUUUGAUGAACUUCUAUUAUUGCUGAGACCGAGUAUAACCUAUCAAGAUACGGAUAUGCGUCUCGCUAUUUUACCUGAAGAAAGACUGGCAGUGACACUAAGCAGAACAUGGGUAUAAUCAAAAUGGAAAAUGAUGUUGAUGUUCAAAGUGAAAAAGAGUCAAUUGGCAUGGUAUCUGAUGAGGUUCAUCUACAAUCAACACUUUCAAUAAAAGAAGAUGAAAUUGAGAUCAUGAAUAUAAAACUUGAGGAUUUUGCAGAUACACAUGAAGAGGAGGAUCCUCUAGGAGAACUUCCAUUAAUAAAGUCUGAACAUGAGGUGAGUUUCACAUUUUUAUGCACUUUUAAGAAAUACGUAGGAUUACGUGUUUUGUGUCUCUUGUCAAUCUCCACAUGAAGGAAUUCCACUCUGUUGAAUGGAUUUUGAAAUGUCCUUUGAAUAAUGGUGCCAGAGGACUGAAUUUUCUUGGGCACUAUUUAUGAAAUACCAUUUUAAUUAUGUGUUGCAUCAGUUUUAAAACAUAUGAAAUUAAACAUUGACCAAACUGAGAAAUAUUUUAGACAAAUAUAGCCCAUAAAUCUUGUAUAAUUUGUGGGCUUUGUAUUGAAAAUACUGCGUGCUAUUGAAUUUCUUAUACAAUUCACAGGAACUAUGAAUGUUCUAAGAUUAUCUUUUAUUUCUUUUGUAAGUUGAUGCAAAUUGUACUCAUAUAUUAGAACAGUGUUGUCAUUUCUGUUAAGCAUCAUUAACUCUUUCCAUAUGGAAAGCUAAAAUUGAGUGUGUAA